ensembl:snoRNA
GCAGAGACUAGAGUCACAUCCCGACACAGAACUUGUCCUGGUGUGCUACAGUUCUCGGAGAGAAUUUGCUGGUCUUGAUUCACUGGGGGGGGGGGGACAAUUAAUGUCCCCAUUAGUGCCCAGAUCAGAAACAUAG